ACAGGAAGAGGAGGCUCUGGUGCCUAGGGAGUGGUUCCGGACUCUGGAGAAGAGGGCAUGGUAUCUAGAGAGCAGAAAGGUCUCCAGGAACCAUCUAAGGAUCUUUGAUUGUCCGAUUUUUACAUCAUCACUGAAAGAAAAGAAAGCCUUGUGGUUAUCAUAGGAACUGUCUCAUAUACCACAAAAAUCUACCAGCAAUAUAGGUAAUCCAUCCUUAAAUUAUAUCACCACAUCUGAGAGUCUCCAAUUGGAAUGGUAUCUGGGUGCAAGGUCAAGG
rnacentral:lncRNA from 1 species